rnacentral:misc_RNA from 1 species
UUGUUUUGUUACGAUAAUUUACAUUCUUUACAUUUUGUUUGUGUGGUUCCUCCGGGCCAGGCCCCCAUCAAUGAAGACGGAGACCCUCAACGACCCUCGGAAAUGGUUCACGGUGUGUGUGGAUGAAGACACGGCCUUUCGGCCAAUCUAUAAUGAUCCUUCCGCAGGUUCACCUACGGAAA